ACGUAGUUUGAUCAGUGGCUCGAGGACGACGCUAGCGACAGGCCUAACACAUGCAAGUCGAGGGGCAGCGGGGAUGAAGCUUGCUUCAUCUGCCGGCGACCGGCGCAAGGGUGCGUAACGCGUGAGCAACUUGCCCGUUUCUGGGGAAUAACCGGUGGAAACGCCGACUAAUACCCCCAUAGUAUAGCAGAGAGGCAUCUUUUUGCUAUUAAAGAAUUUCGGAAACGGAUAGGCUCGCGUGACAUUAGCUAGAUGGCGGGGUAACGGCCCACCAAGGCUCCGAUGGGUAGGGGUUCUGAGAGGAAGGUCCCCCACACUGGAACUGAGACACGGUCCAGACUCCUACGGGAGGCAGCAGUGAGGAAUAUUGGUCAAUGGAGGCAACUCUGAACCAGCCAAGUAGCGUGAGGGAUGACUGCCCUACGGGUUGUAAACCUCUUUUGUCGGGGAAUAAACUGCGCCACGCGUGGCGCCCUGCAUGUACCCGCAGAAUAAGGACCGGCUAAUUCCGUG
rnacentral:rRNA from 1 species